rnacentral:rRNA from 1 species
UACGUAGGGGUCUAGCGUUGUCCGGAAUUAUUGGGCGUAAAGAGCUCGUAGGCGGUUCGGCAAGUCGGAUGUGAAAUCUCCACGCUUAACGUGGAGGGGCCAUUCGAAACUGCCGUGACUCGAGUCCGGUAGGGGAGUGCGGAAUUCCCGGUGUAGCGGUGAAAUGCGCAGAUAUCGGGAGGAACACCGGUGGCGAAGGCGGCAUCCUGGACCGGUAUUGACGCUGAGGAGCGAAAGCCAGGGGAGCAAAGCGGG